AAGAGAUUUUCCCCUGAAAAUCAAACAUAACUAACCUAGUAACUUAACUUAACCACUCAACUAACGACGAACAACGAGCCUGAAGACUCGGAACAAAGAAGGAGGCGGAUAUAACUACGUAGUUGAGGCAGCCAUUGCUGCGAGCAUACCGAACAAAAUUUGGACAAUUUUACACACCCAAUUGGUUUUAAGAGAACGGAAACAGCAUCAACAGCAUUUAGAAACAACAAGGAGCAUAUGUACAUACGUAACAUGGAAUGAAAUAAACGUUGUGGAUGGCUGGUGUAAGGGAUUGUACCAAGGAUGGGAGACAUUAAACAUCGGAGGGACUCAUUGCUGGACAAAAGGAAAUGCUCCUGAAAAUCGUGUCCAAGUAAAAGCGGACAAGGGCUGGAUGGCACGACGAAAAACGGGGAGAAUGCUGAACGUGGAAUGAUGGCCUGCGAAAGUGGGGUCCGGAGGAGAAGGAAGAUCGGACAGCGGAAGUGGGUCACUAUUGACUCAACCUCAUAGGGAUCACGAAAACGCUGGAAACGACGCCGAGGAACGAAAACAGUAGAACGAUUGCGUUCGGCACGCGGUGGGGGUGGUGGGGGUUCACGAAGGCCGAAAAAGUUCCACAGGGGCAUGAUAAUGUGCAGUAAUUAAGGGCAUUGUGUCACAUAACUAUGUAAAAAUAAUUUGAUGUAGUGUAAAGUAGUAAAGUGUGAGCUUUUUGUUCACAAG